rnacentral:lncRNA from 9 species
UGAUGAGAUCCGCAGGCUCGCCACCAAGGAACUGCAAGGCCAGGGGGAAGAGCAGCGCAAAUUAGAUUCUGCAUUUGAGGAGUCUCAACUAGAAGUUGAGAAAUUAAAAGAACUUUUUAAAAAGCUGAAAGAAAAUGGCUCAGUUGACUUACGGAAAGCGAAGGAACAUAACCGGAGACUGGAUGAGGAAAUUCUGGCUUUAAGAAAUCGGGUUCGAUCACUUGACUCAGAAAAAAAAAGUACUUGGAGAAGAGGUUGAACGGCUUAGAGGAGAAAUUUGUGAAUCUCCAGAGAGGAAGCACCUUGGAAACUACUCUCCCGGAAAAACGGUAGGUGCGGAACAGAAAGUUCAGUUCUUUCUGAUUUCCCAUUUUUAGGUGUGUUCCAUCUCCGAGUACACCAGAGCAACCGAGGCUGAGUGUUUGCUGCUCUUAUCACCUGCCUUUUUUCUAGGGCUUUGCCAAUGAGCAUGGGAGAAGAAAUUAGAGUAUAGAAGGAACAAUUAAUAUGAAAAAUAUAACGCAUUGUUUCUUUAAAGAACAUAAAGAGGAGUUCCUGUUGUGGCUCAGCUGGUUAAGAACCUGACAUAGUGUCUGCAAAGAUGUGAGUUUGAUCCCUGGCCUGUUCAAUGGGUUUAGGAUCAGCGUUGCAGCAAAAAAAGCUGUGGCAUAAGUCACAGAUGCGUCUUCGAUCCUGAGUUGCUGUGGCUGUGGCCUGCAGCUGCAUCUCUAACUCAACACCUAGCCCAGGAACUUCCAUAUGCUCUAAGUGUGGGCACAAAAAUUAAAAAAAAAAAAAAAGAG